rnacentral:rRNA from 1 species
ACUCCUACGGGAGGCAGCAGUGGGGAAUAUUGCACAAUGGGGGAAACCCUGAUGCAGCCAUGCCGCGUGUGUGAAGAAGGCCUUCGGGUUGUAAAGCACUUUCAGUAGGGAGGAAGGUAGUGUAGUUAACACCUGCACUAUUUGACGUUACCUACAGAAGAAGCACCGGCUAACUCCGUGCCAGCAGCCGCGGUAAUACGGAGGGUGCGAGCGUUAAUCGGAAUUACUGGGCGUAAAGCGCAUGCAGGCGGCCUGUUAAGUCAGAUGUGAAAGCCCGGGGCUUAACCUCGGAAUUGCAUUUGAAACUGGCAGGCUAGAGUCUUGUAGAGGGGGGUAGAAUUUCAGGUGUAGCGGUGAAAUGCGUAGAGAUCUGAAGGAAUACCAGUGGCGAAGGCGGCCCCCUGGACAAAGACUGACGCUCAGAUGCGAAAGCGUGGGGAGCAAACAGGAUUAGAUACCCUGGUAGCACAGG